UACGGGGGGGGGUAAGCGUUGUUCGGAAUUACUGGGCGUAAAGGGCUCGUAGGCGGCCAACUAAGUCAGACGUGAAAUCCCUCAGCUUAACUGGGGAACUGCGUCUGAUACUGGAUGGCUUGGAUUCGGGAGAGGAAUGCGGAAUUCCAGGUGUAGCGGUGAAAUGACGUAGAUAUCUGGAGGAACACCGGUGGCGAAGGCGGCAUCCUGGACCAAUACUGACGCUGAGGAGCGAAAGCCAGGGGAGCAAACGGG
rnacentral:rRNA from 1 species